GGUGAGGCUGCAGAGUGAGGAGGAGCUAGAUCGUAGGGUCUUCCUAAAUUAAUGUAAGCAUUUUGGAUUUUAUUCUAAAAUCCACAGCUACAUUAAUGCAGCUGCUCUUCAAGAGAAUGGACAUGAAGAGGACAAGAGCAGAUAUGAAUGGGCCCACUGCGAACUAAGGCCCCAGCUCACAGAUGACAUUUGUAGACACAUGCUGGACUAAAAGGGAACCUGUUGCCUUGAAGGAAAGAAGCCAGUCCUAGCAGCAUUCAUCACCUGCUAACUGAAGAGCUAUUGGACCCUUGGUUAACCAGCAGUGACAACCAGGCACUACAUCGAGGGGACUGAGUGAACCUCUGAGACUUCCUGGCUUCUAGUGAGACUCCAGAUUCCCAGAUGUGGUGGCUAAGGGGAAAAACUCCUUUUGCUUGA
rnacentral:lncRNA from 10 species